ACUGCCUUUAAACCAAUCCCGUGAGGUUGGAAAGGAGUCGGACAGCGCAGAACUGGUGUAUACUAGCCAGGUGUUCUGAGCAAACGGCCACCUCCUAACCGGGGUGGUCGUUUUUCGU
rfam:Alicyclobacillus hesperidum TRH17-3-68 TRH17368ctg33, whole genome shotgun sequence.